rnacentral:piRNA from 1 species
GCGAUUGGCGACACCAGCAGAAAAGUCGU